rnacentral:piRNA from 1 species
UAUGGAAUGAGGGAACAGCAGUUCUGGAG